AACAAACGCUGGCGGCGUGCCUAACACAUACAAGUCGUACGAGAAAGGGUCCUUCGGGGCCUGAGUAAAGUGGCGCACGGGUGAGUAACGCGUGGAUAAUCUGCCCUUCAGUUGGGAAUAACUCAUCGAAAGGUGGGCUAAUACCGAAUAAUGCUGUGAGACCUCGGUUGAUCAGCCAAAGAGAGCCUCUGCUUGCAAGCCCUCGCUGAAGGAUGAGUCCGCGUACCAUUAGCUAGUUGGUAGGGUAAUGGCCUACCAAGGCGACGAUGGUUAGGUGGUCUGAGAGGAUGAUCAGCCACACUGGAACUAAGACACGGUCCAGACUCCUACGGGAGGCAGCAGUGAGGAAUCUUGCGCAAUGGGGGCAACCCUGACGCAGCAACGCCGCGUGAGUGAGGAAGGUCUUCGGAUCGUAAAGCUCUGUCGGAUGGAAAGAACCGCAUAGGGGUAAACAGCCCCUGUGUCUGACGGUACCAUCAAAGGAAGCACCGGCUAACUCCGUGCCAGCCGCCGCAGUAACAC
rnacentral:rRNA from 1 species